GACGAACGCUGGCGGCGUGCUUAACACAUGCAAGUCGAACGCUGAAGCUUGGUGCUUGCACUGGGUGGAUGAGUGGCGAACGGGUGAGUAAUACGUGAGUAACCUGCCCUUGACUCUGGGAUAAGCCUGGGAAACUGGGUCUAAUACUGGAUAUGACAUGCCACUGCAUGGUGGUGUGUGGAAAGGGUUUUACUGGUUUUGGAUGGGCUCACGGCCUAUCAGCUUGUUGGUGGGGUAAUGGCCUACCAAGGCGACGACGGGUAGCCGGCCUGAGAGGGUGACCGGCCACACUGGGACUGAGACACGGCCCAGACUCCUACGGGAGGCAGCAGUGGGGAAUAUUGCACAAUGGGCGGAAGCCCGAUGCAGCGACGCCGCGUGAGGGAUGACGGCCUUCGGGUUGUAAACCUCUUUCAGCACGGAAGAAGCGAGAGUGACGGUACGUGCAGAAGAAGCGCCGGCUAACUACGUG
rnacentral:rRNA from 1 species